GCGGCUUAAUUUGACUCAACACGGGGAAACUCACCAGGUCCAGACAUAGUGAGGAUUGACAGAUUGACAGCUCUUUCUUGAUUCUAUGGGUGGUGGUGCAUGGCCGUUCUUAGUUCGUGGAUUCAUUUGUCUGGUUAAUUCCGAUAACGAACGAGACCUUAACCUGCUAAAUAGCCUGGCUAGUCGUUUGACUGGUGCAGGCUUCUUAGAGGGACUGCUGGUUUCAAGCCAGCGGAAGUUUUAGGCAAUAACAGGUCUGUGAUGCCCUUAGAUGUUCUGGGCCGCACGCGCGCUACACUGAUGAGGUCAGCGAGUUAGCCUCCGGGCGUUCCUGGUCCGAUAGGAUCGGGUAAUCUUGUAAACCUCAUCGUGCUGGGGAUUGUCCUUUGCAACUUUCGGACAUGAACGAGGAAUUUCUAGUAAUCGCAAGUCAUCAGCUUGCGAUGAUUACGUCCCUGCCCUUUGUACACACCGCCCGUCGCUACUACCGAUUGAAUGGCUUAGUGAGUCCUCCGGAUUUGGCGGGCACGCCCUCACCGGCUGCCAGCUAGAGAAGCUGGGCAAACUUGGUCAUUUAGAGGAAGUAAAAGUCGUAACAAGGUCAUCGUAGGUGAACCUGCGGUGGGAUCAUCAUUGAUAAUUAAAUCACAUCUGGUGUGAAUUACUUUGAAAUGGAUUUUGGAGGCUGUAAGAGGUCUCUAGUUCUGGGCAGAAGGACCGCAAGGUUUUUGUAGCCCGGACAUCCUAACACUAAACAGUGUUUUUUUUUCUAAUGGCCAACCAACAAAAAAGCUAUAUAUUUUUUUGACUGCGUCUAACAGCGUAGAAUAACUAUAUAAAACUAUUAAUGGUGGAUCACUUGGCUCUCGCAUCGAUGAAGAACGCAGCGAAUUGCGAAAAUUGUCGUGACUUGCAUCAUCGUGAAUCAUCGAGUUUUCGAACGCACAUUGCACUCUGCACUUGUGUAGAGUAUGUCUGUUUGAGCAUCAUUAUAUACCCCACCCACAGAAAUUUAUUCUUGUAGGGGAUUGAUGAGCGCAUCCGGCUUUUCGUCAGAGAGGACGGUCGCUUGAAAUGCAGAGGUUGUCUGGCUUCGGCCUGGACAGAGACACUACAAUCAACAAGACAGCGUCUAGUUGCUAGGGAGUGUGCAAUAUUUGGUUCAACCUGUUGCGCGCGUCAGUACCUGGCUGUACUUUGCUUUCUUGGUAGGCUUGGUCUCGUAGUUCCUCAGGGCUACUCAAAGUACCCGCUUGCAAUUACUUUAAUAUUUUGAUCUCAAAUCAGGCAAGACUACCCGCUGAAUUUAAGCAUAUCAAUAAGCGGAGGAAAAGAAACUAACAAGGAUUCCCCCAGUAACGGCGAGUGAAGCGGGAACAGCUCAAGGCAGGAAUCCCCUCGGGGAGUUGUGGCCUAUGGAACGUAGUUGCUGUGAGUCGGUUUGCGGAUCAAGUCCCUUGGAAUAGGGCGCCAGAGAGGGUGACAGCCCCGUCCACCGCAGGCUUGAACGGCUCCGCUAUGCACUAUGCUCCGCGAGUCGGGUUGUUUGGGAAUGCAGCCCUAAUCGGGAGGUACGCACCUUCCAAGGCUAAAUAUUCAGGCGAGAGACCGAUAGCGAACAAGUACCGUGAGGGAAAGUUGAAAAGUACUCUGGAGAGAGAGUGAAAAGCGCGUGAAACCAUUAGUAGGGAACCGCUUGCACGGUGCACUGAGUAUUGCUGGCUUCGGCUGGCUUUACCGCUCAACACCAGUUUGGCUUGCUGGAGAAAGGUCGUGGCAAGGUAGCAACGCUUCGGGGUUGUGUUAUAGGCUGCGUCCAUAUACAGUGGGCUGGACUGAGGACGGCGACAUCCCUUCGGGGCGCUUGUGGGGGCUGGCCGGGGGGCUGGACUGCGCGGACAGCAUGCUGACCGUGUGGGACCACGCCACCCGCCCCGGCUUCCAUCAAGUGUUAUGUCAAGGGUAGUUGAGAAGCGCUGAACAAACGACCCGUC
rnacentral:rRNA from 1 species